rnacentral:lncRNA from 1 species
UUAUUAAUAACAUACAUUGUCAGAGAGAAGAUUGAUAAUUGUUAAAUAGUACUACUAGUGUAAGUCAGAUAACAGGCGAAAGCAAAAAUAAGAAACACAAAAGAGGAGAGAGAGAGAGGAUGAAGCGCACUUUGCCACUUUAAUUUCCUGCACGCAUCCACAACUCGAAGAAGAAGAAAGACAUAAGACAGAAGAGGAAGAAAAGAGUUUGAGAGAUUGUGAAUUUGUCGAGAAAAGUGUGCAAUGCCCUUACCCUUUGCAGAGUUUCAAGGGAAGGUGAUUUCUUCUUAUUUCUCCUCCGACAUAGAGCCCACCUCUGUUCUUAGCCCUCUCACGACAUCCUCCUCCACGGUGUCUUCCUCUCACGGCGUAAACGCUGCCGUCGGAGGCGGCGGUAUCUCC